rnacentral:rRNA from 1 species
UACGUAGGGGGCUAGCGUUGUCCGGAAUCAUUGGGCGUAAAGAGCGUGUAGGCGGCCCGGUAAGUCCGCUGUAAAAGUCAAAGGCUCAACCUUUGAAUGUCAGUGGAUACUGCCGGGCUAGAGUCCGGAAGAGGCGAGUGGAACUCCUGGUGUAGCGGUGGAAUGCGCAGAUAUCAGGAAGAACACCAACGGCGAAGGCAGCUCGCUAGGACGGUACUGACGCUGAGACGCGAAAGCGUGGGGGAGCGAACAGG